rnacentral:rRNA from 1 species
GACGUAGGGCGCGAGCGUUGUCCGGAUUUAUUGGGCGUAAAGAGCUCGUAGGCGGCUCGUUGCGUCGGCUGUGAAAACCCGCAGCUCAACUGUGGGCUUGCAGCUGAUACGGGCGGGCUGGAGUUCGGUAGGGGAGACUGGAAUUCCUGUGUAGCGGUGAAAUGCGCAGAUAUCAGGAGGAACACCGGUGGCGGAAGGCGGGUCUCUGGGCCGAUACUGACGCUGAGGAGCGAAAGCGUGGGGAGCGAACAGG